ensembl:lncRNA
GUACAACCAAACAUUUUACAGGAGAGGAAACCAAAACAGCCAAAAACAUGCAAAGAAGUUUGUAUCUGGUUUCAGAAAAAUGCAACUCAGAGACCUUUCUGCCUUGCCUUUCUGCCGGAUUCCCCAGCAUGUGGUCCAGAGCCCAUCGCAGAGCAGGCCCCAGAGGUUGCAAACAAAUUUUCACUGGGUGAAGACAAUUACAUUUACAGAUGAGAAAAUGGAGGCACAGAGUCCCUUCUCGAGGUCUCCCUGGAGGUAAUGAGAAUGGACUGGAAGAUGGAUCAGAUUGGUUCCUAAGCCUGGCAACCCCUGUUUCCUUGAGCCCUUAGCUCUGAACUGUGACAACUUUCCCUUGGAAUCACCCAGUUCCUUUCCAUGUCCAGCCCUUAACAUGCACUGUUCACCCCACCAGGAACUCUGUUCUCUGUUCUUUUCCCUGACUUCUUCCUCCUCCUCUAGGCUCUUGGCCAGACCACCACCGGGACCCUCUGAUUUUUGGC